rnacentral:rRNA from 1 species
GUGGGGAAUAUUGGACAAUGGGGGGAACCCUGAUCCAGCCAUGCCGCGUGUGUGAAGAAGGCCUUUUGGUUGUAAAGCACUUUAAGCGAGGAGGAGGCUACCGAGAUUAAUACUCUUGGAUAGUGGACGUUACUCGCAGAAUAAGCACCGGCUAACUCUGUGCCAGCAGCCGCGGUAAUACAGCGGGUGCGAGCGUUAAUCGGAUUUACUGGGCGUAAAGCGUGCGUAGGCGGCUUUUUAAGUCGGAUGUGAAUUCACCGUGCUUAACUUGGGAAUUGCAUUCGAUACUGGGAAGCUAGAGUAUGGGAGAGGAUGGUAGAAUUCCAGGUGUAGCGGUGAAAUGCGUAGAGAUCUGGAGGAAGACCGAUGGCGAAGGCAGCCAUCUGGCCUAAUACUGACGCUGAGGUACGAAAGCAUGGGGAGCAAACAGGAUUAGAUACCCUGGUAGUCC